CUCCUAGUACGAGAGGACCGGAGUGGACGCAUCACUGGUGUUCGGGUUGUCAUGCCAAUGGCACUGCCCGGUAGCUAAAUGCGGAAGAGAUAAGUGCUGAAAGCAUCUAAGCACGAAACUUGCCCCGAGAUGAGUUCUCCCUGACUCCUUGAGAGUCCUGAAGGAACGUUGAAGACGACGACGUUGAUAGGCCGGGUGUGUAAGCGCAGCGAUGCGUUGAGCUAACCGGUACUAAUGAACCGUGAGGCUUAACCUU
rnacentral:rRNA from 1 species